UACGUAGGGCGCGAGCGUUGUCCGGAAUUAUUGGGCGUAAAGAGCUCGUAGGCGGUCUGUCACGUCGGAUGUGGAAGCCCGGGGCUUAACCCCGGGUCUGCAUUCGAUACGGGCAGACUAGAGUGUGGUAGGGGAGAUCGGAAUUCCUGGUGUAGCGGUGAAAUGCGCAGAUAUCAGGAGGAACACCGAUGGCGAAGGCAGGUCUCUGGGCCAUAACUGACGCUGAGAAGCGAAAGCGUGGGGAGCGAACAGG
rnacentral:rRNA from 1 species